UAUAAACAUUUAGAUACCUCAAUAGAGUCAAUCUCCAAGAAAUACCUCAAUAGAGUUCAUAGAAAAAAUUAUUAUGGGUAGUACGAAAACUUUGGUGAUUUGUUUCCUUGCAAUGAUAUUUGCAGUUUCAUUGUCUAGCCAGAAUGUUUUGGCUUCAGAAAAUUUUUAAUUUGACAACUGCCGUAAGCCAUGUUCAGAAUUCUAUGGACGGGAGGAAUGUAUGAAGGACUGUAAAAAUAUUGGAUUUAAAGGUGGAGACUGUGGUUCUCCUUGUAUUCCAUGUCCUGUGAAAUGUUGUUGUCAAUUAUAGUACACUUAUAUAUGCUCUCUCUUUCUCUCAAAUUUGACGAUUCUAAGAUCGUAUAUAUAUUCUCUAAAUUAUUGGAGUUAAUUUG